AGUAAUGCGUGACCAACCUCGCCCCAUGCUCCAGAAUAGCUCUUGGAAACGGGUGGUAAUGCUGGAUGCUCCAACUUGACGCAUGUCUUGUUGGGAAAGUGUUUAGUGGCAUGGGAUGGGGUCGCGUCCUAUCAGCUUGUAGGCGGGGUAAUGGCCCACCUAGGCUUCGACGGGUAGCCGGCCUGAGAGGGCGGACGGCCACAUUGGGACUGAGAUACGGCCCAGACUCCUACGGGAGGCAGCAGGG
rnacentral:rRNA from 1 species